rnacentral:rRNA from 1 species
UGCCCUAGUAACGGCGAGUGAAGCGGCAACAGCUCAAAUUUGAAAUCUGGCCCUCGGGUCCGAGUUGUAAUUUGUAGAGGAUGCUUUUGGUGCGGUGCCUUCCGAGUUCCCUGGAACGGGACGCCAUAGAGGGUGAGAGCCCCGUCUGGUUGGACACCAAUCCUCUGUAAAGCUCCUUCGACGAGUCGAGUAGUUUGGGAAUGCUGCUCUAAAUGGGAGGUAUAUGUCUUCUAAAGCUAAAUACCGGCCAGAGACCGAUAGCGCACAAGUAGAGUGAUCGAAAGAUGAAAAGCACUUUGAAAAGAGGGUUAAACAGUACGUGAAAUUGUUGAAAGGGAAGCGCUUGUGACCAGACUUGGGCCCGGUUAAUCAUCCAGCGUUCUCGCUGGUGCACUUGGCCGGCCCAGGCCAGCAUCAGUUCGGCGCGGGGGACAAAGGCUUCGGGAAUGUGGCUCCUCCGGGAGUGUUAUAGCCCGCUGCGUAAUACCCUGCGCUGGACUGAGGUUCGCGCAUCUGCAAGGAUGCUGGCGUAAUGGUCAUCAGCGACCCGUCUUGAAACACGGACCAAGGAGUCGUCUUCGUAUGCGAGUGUUCGGGUGUUAAACCCCUACGCGUAAUGAAAGUGAACGCAGGUGAGAGCUUCGGCGCAUCAUCGACCGAUCCUGAUGUUCUCGGAUGGAUUUGAGUAAGAGCAUACGGGGCCGGACCCGAAAGAAGGUGAACUAUGCCUGUAUAGGGUGAAGCCAGAGGAAACUCUGGUGGAGGCUCGCAGCGGUUCUGACGUGCAAAUCGAUCGUCAAAUAUGGGCAU